rnacentral:rRNA from 1 species
GAUGAACGCUGGCGGCGUGCCUCAUACAUGCAAGUCGAGCGACCAGACGAGGAGCUUGCUCCUCUGAAGUUAGCGGCGGACGGGUGCGUAACACGUGGCUACCCUACCUAUAAGUCUGGGACCACUUUGGGAAACCGCAGCUCAUACCGGAUAAUAUAUUGAACCGCAUGGUUCAAUAGUGAAAGACGGUUUUGCUGUCACUUAUAGAUGGAUCCGCUCCGCAUUAGCUAGUUGGUAAUGUAACGGCAUACCAAGGCGACGAUGCGUAGCCGACCUGAGAGGGUGAUGGGCCACACUGGAACUGAGACACGGUCCAGACUCCUACGGGAGGCAGCAGUAGGGAAUCUUCCGCAAUGGGCGAAAGCCUGACGGGGCAACGCCGCGUGAGUGAUGAAGGUCUGCGGAUCGUAAAGCUCUGUUAUUAGGGAAGAACAAAUGUGUAAGUAACUAUGCACGUCUUGACGGUACCUAAUCAGAAAGCCACGGCUAACGACGUG